UCUACCUAGGGGUGGUGUGAGGUGAAAGGGACAAGCCUCUGCUGGGCUCGAUACAGGGGUUGAGGCUCGACCUGGGUAUUGAAAGAUGGUCACAUGUUUCCCCACGUAAACGGGCCCAGAGAGCAAGCGUGCGAAGGCCCAAAGGGACCAACCAGUAUGGAGUGUUCGGGGAAUGGCGAGGAGCUUCUGUAUGGCCGGGCCAGGGGGAAGUCUGAAAGGGGAGGCAGGCACUGUAAAAGACAGGACCGGUAGGGCUGCAAAGGCUAGAUCCCCAAACGUCUUAUGGGUUCGGCCAAGGAGUCUGGUCCAGAAUAGAAAUUCCUGGAUAUAGCCACCAGCAACCUGUUUCAGCAUCCUUCCUAUUUCACAGCGGAGGCUGUGAACUCCCCAAAGAACCGGACCCAGGAGCGUUUGCUCCCCGGCAAAAAUAGAACACCUCCCACCCCCCACCCCCCCAAUGAAAGCAAAAGGCUCCUAUUGUGUGGAGGCAUUCAGAGGAAGCAGGUGGAAUUUCAUCUGGAGUGAAACUCCUCCAUUGAAACAAACACCUCAUUGCCAAAUCCCAAAAGAGCACAGCAUAGGAGGUCGUUGCUGUCUGUAGGCCUCUUACCGCAGGCUCCUUGUCUGUGUCUAUAAAACACUGCCAUUGUAGAUGCUGAGAGUCAUUUUUAGAGCCAUUAUAGCAGGGGACCCAUCCUGCCAUUCACCUCUUCUCUUCAGGGGAUUCCAGAAAAAGAGAACAGAAUCCCUUCCUGCCCGGCCUUUGAGACUCUUGUUCGGGGACCUGCUCCACAGAUCCCAUUGUCUCUGUGCUCCAAAACAAUAAAGAAAUGGAUUUUUGCAAAUCAUUUCUGGAACCUGAUUGUUUUGACACAGUGAACUUAAGCUUUUGACCAAAGCAGAUUUCUCUGCCACUUUGGUCAUUUCAACAUGAAAUGACUCCAUUCAGCAACAGUGUGUGAGAUACCACGCAAAAUCACCGCAAUCCCCAUUGACUGUUGGGAAAUGAGGAAGAAAACAGAGGCUGCUCAAAAUGGAACAGAAACUCUAUUUAAAACAAUUUUCUGAAAAUCAGUGAUUGCAGAGGCUCUGAGCCAGGACAGCUGGGAGCAAGCCAUCAGAUCCCCCUUUUAAGGCGCAGCUCCCUAUUGCUGUCAGCAGACCACAUAUUUCUUAGCAUCUCUGAAGAAAUGUUAAAUCAAUAAACUACCUAGAGAUUGCUGACA